rnacentral:lncRNA from 11 species
CUUUCUCACUUGAAAAGUCACUGAUUUUUUCCAAGGCAGUGGUGGGGCUAUAGUAUUGUCAGAAUGAAAACCGAAGAAGGUUGUGCAGAGAAAGGCUUUUCAGGAAGUGUUGAUUGCUACACAACCAGGAUAUCAGUACAGCUUACAAUUGCAAUGUGAUUCCGACAACUCAAAAUGUAAAACAAGAAAGAACAAUGUAAGUUGAGCAAAAUGUAUUCAUAAAAAGGUAAAACAAGUUAAUAUUUUACAAUCUUUGUUCAUGCAGGGAUUUGGAUGAAACUAUUAAAUUUGUAGAGAUAUGGAUGAAACCUUGGCUGUUUAAUAAAGAUCUGU